rnacentral:lncRNA from 1 species
GAAAGUGAGAGCAGCUCCGAUACUCCGAAAAUUGUAAAAGAUUUCCUUUUGAAACAACCUAAAGAGUACCAUAGAGAAUGGGAGAGGAAGGCAAUUGCAAGGGGAGGUAUUCAUCCUAGGAAAGGCGUGUCAGUUGUUCGACACUAUCCUCCUGGUUGUGGGAUGAAUGUAAAGGAACAACAAGAAAAUAAUAAGGAGAAAGUAA